AAUCAUUGAACAGCAUUCUUACAUAGGUAUUCCUCUUGGCCAGAUGGGUUAGGGCAGUGUGCAGUGUGAUUGCGUCGUCUGUGGACCUAUUGGGGCGGUAAGCAAAUUGGACUGGGUCUAGGGUGUCAGGUAGGGUGGAGGUGAUAUGGUCCUUGACCAGUCUCUCAAAGCCCUUCAUGAUGACGGAAGUGAGUGCUAUGGGGCGAUAGUCAUUUAGAUCAGUUACCUUAGCUUUCUUGGGAACAGGAACAAUGGUGACCUUCUUGAAGCAUGUGGGAAAAGCAGACUGGGAUAGGGAUUCAUUGAAUAUGUCCGUUAACACACCAGCCAGCUGGUCUGCGCAUGCUCUGAGGACUCGGCUAGGCAUGCCGUCUGGGCCGGCAGCCUUGCGAGGGUUAACACGUUUAAAUGUUUUACUCCUGUUUGCCCCGGUGAAGGAGAGCCCGCAGGUUUUGGUAGCGGGUCGUGUCAGUGGCACUGUGCUGUCCUCAAAGCGAGCAAAGAAGUUGUUUAAUUUGUCUGGGAGCAAGACGUCGGUGUCCUCGACGGGGCUUGUUUUCUUUUUGUAAUCGGUGAUUGACUGUAGACCCUGCCACAUGCAUCUCGUGUCUGAGCCGUUGAAUUGUGACUCUACUUUGUCUCUAAACUGACACUUUGCUUGUUUGAUUGCCUUGCUGAGGGAAUAGCUACACUGUUUGUAUUCGGUCUUGUUUCCGUUCGCCUUGCCAUGAUUGAAAGCAGUGGUUCGCGCUUUCAGUUUUGCGUGAACGCUGCCAUCAAUCCAUGGUUUCUGGUUGGGGAAGGUUUUAAUUGUCACCGUGGGUACAACAUCACACUUGCUAAUUAACUCAAUGUUGUCGUCUGAGGCUAUCCGGAACACAUCCCAGUCCAUGUGAUCGAAACAAUCUUGAAACGUGGAAUCUGACUGGUCAGACCAGCGUUGAACAGACCUGAGCACGGGCAUUUCCUGUUUUAGUUUCUGUCUAUAGGCUGGGAGCAACAAAAUGGAGUCGUGAUCAGAUUUGCCAAAAGGAGGGCGAGGGAGGGCUUUGUAUGCGUCGCGGGAAGUUAGAGGAGCAAUGAUCCAGAAUGCUGCCAGCCUGGGUCGCGCAUUCGAUAUGCUGAUAAAAUUUAGGGAGCCUUGUUUUCAGAUUAUCUUUGUUAAAAUGCUCAUUCAACUAAUUUAUUUUACUAGGCAAGUCAGAUAAGAACAAAUUCUUAUUUUCAAUGAUAGUCUAGGAACAGUGGGUUAAUUGCCUGUUCAGGGGCAGAACAACAGAUUUGUAGCUUGUCAGCUCAGGGAUUUGAACUUGCAACCUUUUGGUUACUAGUCCAACACUCUAACCACUAGGCUACCCUGCCACACCUAAGGGCUCUGUUUACCUUGGCUCCCAUGCAGGCCCAUCCGGAUCCCUCUUUGGCGUUCACAGUGGAGGUGGACGCGUCCAAGGCUGGGAUAGGAGCCGUGCUCUCUCAGCGCUCGGGUACGCCACCGAAGCUCCGCCCCUGUGCCUUCUUCUCGAGGAAGCUCAGCCAGGUGGAGCAAAACUAUGACGUGGGGGACCGGGAGCUGUUGGCUGUUGUCAAGGCUUUGAAGGCGUGGAGACAUUGGCUUGAGGGGGGUAGAGGGCAGCAUUCGGAAUUUUGGAUGAAAAGCGUGCCCAAAUUAAACUGCCUGCUACUCAGGCCCAUAAGCUAGGAUAUGCAUAUAAUUAGUAGAUUUGGAUAGAAAACACUCUAAAGUUUCCAAAACUGUUAAAAUAAUGUCUGUCAGUAUAACAACUGAUAUGGCAGGUGAAAACCCGAGGACAAUCCAACCAGGAAGUACUAUUAUUUUGAAAGGCUGUUUUUCCAUUGAAAGACUACCCACCAUACACAGACUUAGGACCCAGUUCACAAUCUCUAUGGCUUCCGCUACAUGUGACCCGUCUUUAGGCAUUGUUUCAGGCUUUUACUUUGAAAAAUGAGGGGGAGACACCACUUUCAAUGAGAGGACAGUGGACAUUUCCAGACAUGAACCAAGCACGUGAUCGGGAAUUUGCAUUUCUUGUUUACCUUUUCCAUUGAAGAAGCUUUUGUCCAGUUGAAAUAUUGAUUAUUUAUGACAAAAACAACCUGAAGAUUGAUUUUAAACAUCGUUUGACAUGUUUCUACUAUCUUUUAUUGUACUUUUUUUGACUUUUCGUCUUGGUGUUGAGAGUGCGCAUUGUGCCUUUGGAUUUCUGAACUAAACGCAGGUAUUUGGACAUAAAGAUUAACUUUGUUGUACAAAACAAACAUUUGUUGUCUAACAUGGAGACCUGGGAGUGCCACCAGAUGAAGAUCAUCAAAGGUAAGUGAUUCAUUUUAAUGCUAUUUCUGACUUUUGUGACACUCUCCUUGGUUGUAAAAUGGCUGUAUGGGUUUCUGUGUCUAGGCGCUGACCUAACAUAAUCGCAAAGUGUGCUUUCGCCGUAAAGCCUUUUUGAAAUCUGACACAGCGGUUGCAUUAAGGAGAAGUUUAUCUUUAUUUGUAUGUUUAACACUUGUAUCAUUUAUCAAUGUUUAUGAUGAUUAUUUCUGUAAUUUGAUGUGGCUCUCUGCACUUUCACCGGAUGUUUGUUUGAGACAAUGCAUUUCUGAACAUAACACAUCAAUUUCAAAUGAGGUUUUUGGACAUAAAGAUUAACUUUAUCGAACAAGACACGCAUUUAUUGUGUAACAUGACGUCCUGUGAGUGCCAUCUGAUGAAGAUCAUCAAAGGUUAGUGAUUAAUUUAAUCGCUAUUUCUGACUUUUAUGAGCCCUCUCCUUGGCUAGAAAAUGGCUGUAUGGUUUUCUGUGACUAGGUGCUGACCUAACAUAAUCGUUUGGUGUGCUUUCGCCGUAAAGCCUAUUUGAAAUCGGACACUGGCUGGAUUUACAAGAAGUUUAUCUUUAAAAUGGUGUAUAAUACUUGUAUGUUUGAGGAAUUUUAAUUAUGGGAUUUCUGUUGUUUUGAAUUUGGCGCACUACAAUUUCACUGGCUGUUGUCGAGGUGGGACGCUAGCAUCCCACUUGUAUCAGACAGGUUAACCAGGAUGUGGGUAGGUUUCUGCGGUCUUAUUACUAGGACCGGCCGGGGGAGUGGGCGGCGUUCGUGCCCUGGGCAGAGAUGGCCCAGAACUCGCUUCGCCACUCCUCCACUAACCUCUCCCCCUUCCCAUGCGUACUGGGGUAUCUGCCGGUUCUGGCUCCUUGGCAUCAGAGUCAGACCGAGGCUCCUGCGGUGGAGGCUCCAGCGUGCGCAGGAGACAUGGGACGCCGCCCAUGUCCACCUUCAGUGCGCCGUGCUGCGCCAGAAAGCCAGCCACCGUCACCCGAAACAUGCCCCUCCGCCUGCCCUGCCGGAGGCGGGGUCCGCGGUUUGCGGGGCCAUUUACAGUCCUGAGGAGACUGAACAAGGUGUGUUUCAGGUUACAGCUCCCCCCGAUUACCGUAUUAACCCCUCGUUCCAUGUGUCUCUCCUCAGGCCGGUGGUGGCUGGUUCGCUCCAGGAGUCUGAGGUGCGGGAGGUUCCUCCGCCCCCCUCUGGACAUCGAGGGGGCCCCGGCGUACGCCGUUUGCUCCAUUCUGUUCCCCCCCAUGUCUGUGUGUGGAAUUGUUUGUUGUAAGUGUAUUGUACAUUUCAGACUAGUGUGCGACGGGUUAUUUCUACCCGUAUUUUGCUGUUCUGGGUGCAGUUUGGGUUUUUGCAUCAUUAAACUGCUCCGGUUGUUACCAAUUUCUGCUCUCCUGACUUCGCCUGACUUCCCUGCAGCCAGUUACGCACCGCUUACAAGGACUAACUUAUUCCUUACCACCCACUCUGAAACUAACUGCAACUCUUUGUUAGGUGUGGCAGUCAUUUCAGUCGCUGUAGUAGCUGACAUGUAUAGAGUUGAGUCAUCCGCAUACAUAGAAACUCUGGCUUUACUCAAAGCCAGUGGCAUGUCAUUAGUAAAAAUUGAAAAACGUAAUGGGCCUAGACAGCUGCCAUGGGGAAAUCCUGAUUUUACCUGGACUAUGGUGGAAAGGCUUCCAUUAAAGAACACCCUCUGUGUUCUGUUAGACAGGUAACUCUAUCAUAAAUAUCGCUGGGGGUGUAAAUCCAUCACACAUACGUUUUUUGCAUUACUCUCUUUGCAUUCUUCACGGUACUACUGGACUCUGACAUUGCUUUUCAAAGUCUGAUUAAGGAAAUCUUUCAGUUGUACAUGUCUACCUCAGUAACCUCAUUGCUGCUAUCCCUGCAAUUCAGUUGCAUGCAUCCUUUCACUUUCAAUUUGCCUUCUUUGCACAUUAAGACUUGUCAUUUGUACUUUCAAUUUGCCUUCAUUGUACAUUAAGACUUGUCAUUUGUACUUGCCAUUUGCCUUCAUUGCACAUUUAUACAUCCCACUUAAUAACAUACAUUGUAUUUAAUUGUUUCACUUGUACAUUUUUUGCACUCUUUUAUUUGCACUUCUGGUCAGAUGCAAACUGCAUUUCGUUGUAGUGUACUUGAUCCAAGUUUAAUCUAAUCUAAUGAUCAAUAAUGUCAAAAGCCGCACUGAAGUCUAACAAAACAAAUUAACAAUACUGGAUGCGAUUUCUGUCUGAAUAAUACUCAUAGCGUUAGUGACAAGUUAUCCCUUUUUCUUUUCUUUUUACUUUUACAACGAUUGUUAUAGAUGCUUUUUAGGUUGUUUUGGAGGCUAAUGGUUCACUAUGGCAUACCAAUCUUUAACUAAAUGCCAGUUGAAAAAACAGGUCAUGCUGUAGUUUUAAAAGCCUGCUAUAGUGUCUCUUGAAUAUGAAAGUGAAGCUGUUUUGAAUAUGAAAGUGAAGCUGUUUCUGAUAAAACCAUCUCUCCUCCUCUUUUCCCUCAAGCUGUGAACUUUUCACUUUCCUCUGGGCAUCAAAGAAGGUAGUCAGAUAGUCUUUCAAUAGUCAUCAUCCAAAGAAAUUCACACACCAUUAUGGUUCAGUAAGUCAAUUUUCCUCUUUACAUUUAGCACUAACUGACAGAUGAUACAGUUAAAGGCAGAUCUGAUCUGUGUAUCGUUUGUUCAAUUGAUAUUUGUACUUAAACAACGAAGACUGAUCUUUUUUUCACUAAUUGGUCUUUUGAACAAUAAGAUCAGCUCUUUUUUAAAUUAUUUGUCAAAACUUCAGAAUUGGUCUGCCUGUGUAAAUGAAGUCAUUAUGUCUCAGAUUAGUUGUUCUUAGGAGUGCACCUGUCUGAAAACUCAAGGAAGGAUGAACAAUGAGCAAUGCAUGAGUUAUCGUAACACCACUAUGAUAUAUGAAUAAGUAAAAUUGAUGUGGUGUGUAUAGGCUAUUGGUGCAUAUUGGAAAAUAUAAUGAGGUUUAUGAUACUAAUUAUAUGGGUGUAAAAUAGAUGUGAGCAAUCCACUUUCACUUUAUGUUUUCUGUAGAUCAUAUGGUCCAAUAAAUGCAAGAGGGGAUGUGGGUGUGAGACUGCACAGCUUAUCUCAGAGGGGUCUGUCAUAGUCAGAAUGAAAGUGAAAGAUGACUUGAAAUACUUAUAUUGUCUGCACACUGGUUGUUAUGUUAUACAGUAAGAUAUGUAUUUUAUUGUCUGUUACAUGAUGCAUAUUUUUUCCCUGUUUACUCCACUUACAUGUCCAGAAUGGAACGCAGAGGUAAUUAUUUUAACAGGACACAGACCUACCACUUAUUUAAAUAAUGUUUAAGGUCAGAUCUUAGGUUAGGCUUAUAGCUGUCUGGGCAGUGAUCUAAACCAAAACAUUGCUACUUUUAGUUUUAGAGUCUGUACUUGACUUUUCUUUUUUUGUCCAUUAUUAAACAGAGGUGCCAAGGUUGAUGAGGUACUACACCAUCACCAUUGGCAAGACUAUGAGUUCUCAUAAUCAGUUUAUGAGACAACUUGGAGGAGGCUUCACUGAAGUGUUGUCACCAGCGCAGAGUGAUAUCAUCAUGGCUUUCUGUCCCAUCGUCUCUCGUGCUGGUACUGAUAUUGAGGCAGCACUGCAGCAGAUUCCAGAGGGCAAAGAUGUCAUUCUGGUAGUCCUGCAUCACUAUUUUAACCCAGAGUACACUGUACCUGACAGCAGCAGACUAGUGACCAGAAGUGAUGUAAUACUCACAGUGGACUGUCUGUUCCAUGAGAGUAAGGGAGGACUACUGAACUGUCCUCGCAACAAAGCAGCAGUUGGUAAAAUUCGGAACCGGCUGAACAUGAAGCCAAAGGUGAUAGAUGCCAUCGUGGACAUCCCUGAUCACAGAAACAGGCCAGUAUGUAUAUUUUCAUUUUAGGAGUUGCCACUUAACUCAACAGUUUUAUACCACUGUAUGAUGUCAUAUUUUAGUCUGAUGCAUCAUUUUAUUUUAUUUUACGUAGUUUAAAGAGAUCCAUUUUUUUUGUAAUUUGUAAGCUCUCUGUCGCAGCACAUUUAUUGGAGGUAAGUACUAGCUAUAAAUCAUACAUUAAUAUGAUAUAUACAUUAUGUAUAAUAUUUACAUUCCCUUGUCAUUUAAGAAAACUGCUAUUGGGGGAUCAGUGUUGAUGCCUGUAAGAAAAACAGACUGUUAACAGAUGGAAGCAGUGUUUGACCACAUCCACCACUUUCUCAUUUCAAGUGCCUUUACAAGCAGGGUCUAUCUUUAUUUUCAUGAUUUCUUCUUUUGUAUUGUUGGUCAAAGUCCUAUUCAGAGGUCUACGUGUUGCUAGUAAUGUAGUAAAUAUACAGUACAACCUCAUACUAUUCUGAAGGUUUUGAAGCCAAUGUGUCUUUUUCCAAUUGUUUUCAUUUCCAGAUGGUGUGUUCCAGUGUCCUUGAUUGCAUCAGGGCAGACAGGCGUUGUUGCCAGAGAUCACCAUUUGCAUGUGUUGGGCUCAUUAUGUUUCUUCUUCUUUUGUGUUUGGUGGUAUUUUUGAUUGUUUCUUUCUGGAAACAAUGAGGUUUAUCAUAAUAACCUAAUGGAAAUAGAGCAAGUAGGUCUAAACAGCAACAGAGGAAUAAACUGUAGAAAUUACACAGACAACACAGAUAAACUGACUUAAUUAUACAUUAAAAAUAAUGAAUAAAGCCUAAUAAAGCACCUACUCUACCUACCUCUAUCUAUCUAUCAGGAUAGUAUAUUAGUUUAAGAUGGCAUGAUGCUCAUGUAAUAUUGUAGGACUACUCUGAUAGUAUAUUCUGUGUUGCACUUUGUUCUGCUUUGACUGCCCUUCUUUUAAAUAUUAAAGUCAUGACAUUUCAGUUG
ensembl:lncRNA